rnacentral:rRNA from 1 species
CCCCGGUAAACGGCGGCCGUAACUAUAACGGUCCUAAGGUAGCGAAAUUCCUUGUCGGGUAAGUUCCGACCUGCACGAAUGGCGUAAUGAUGGCCAGGCUGUCUCCACCCGAGACUCAGUGAAAUUGAACUCGCUGUGAAGAUGCAGUGUACCCGCGGCAAGACGGAAAGACCCCGUGAACCUUUACUAUAGCUUGACACUGAACAUUGAGCCUUGAUGUGUAGGAUAGGUGGGAGGCUUUGAAGUGUGGACGCCAGUCUGCAUGGAGCCGACCUUGAAAUACCACCCUUUAAUGUUUGAUGUUCUAACGUGGACCCGUAAUCCGGGUUGCGGACAGUGUCUGGUGGGUAGUUUGACUGGGGCGGUCUCCUCCUAAAGAGUAACGGAGGAGCACGAAGGUUGGCUAAUCCUGGUCGGACAUCAGGAGGUUAGUGCAAUGGCAUAAGCCAGCUUGACUGCGAGCGUGACGGCGCGAGCAGGUGCGAAAGCAGGUCAUAGUGAUCCGGUGGCUCUGAAUGGAAGGGCCAUCGCUCAACGGAUAAAAGGUACUCCGGGGAUAACAGGCUGAUACCGCCCAAGAGUUCAUAUCGACGGCGGUGUUUGGCACCUCGAUGUCGGCUCAUCACAUCCUGGGGCUGAAGUAGGUCCCAAGGGUAUGGCUGUUCGCCAUUUAAAGUGGUACGCGAGCUGGGUUUAGAACGUCGUGAGACAGUUCGGUCCCUAUCUGCCGUGGGCGCUGGAGAACUGAGGGGGGCUGCUCCUAGUACGAGAGGACCGGAGUGGACGCAUCACUGGUGUUCGGGUUGUCAUGCCAAUGGCACUGCCCGGUAGCUAAAUGCGGAAGAGAUAAGUGCUGAAAGCAUCUAAGCACGAAACUUGCCCCGAGAUGAGUUCUCCCUGAGACUUAGAGUCUCCUGAAGGAACGUUGAAGACGACGACGUUGAUAGGCCGGGUGUGUAAGCGCAGCGAUGCGUUGAGCUAACCGGUACUAAUGAACCGUGAGGCUUAACCUUACA